UACGUAGGGUGCGAGCGUUGUCCGGAAUUAUUGGGCGUAAAGAGCUUGUAGGCGGUUUGUCGCGUCUGCUGUGAAAUCUCAAGGCUCAACCCUGAGCUUGCAGUGGGUACGGGCAGACUAGAGUGCGGUAGGGGAGACUGGAAUUCCUGGUGUAGCGGUGAAAUGCGCAGAUAUCAGGAGGAACACCGGUGGCGAAGGCGGGGUCUCUGGGGCCGUAACUGACGCUGGAGGAG
rnacentral:rRNA from 1 species